rnacentral:rRNA from 1 species
UACGUAGGGGUGCAAGCGUUAAUCGGAAUUACUGGGCGUAAAGCGUGCGUAGACGGUUAUGUAAGUCAGAUGUGAAAGCCCCGGGCUUUAACCUGGGAAUGGCAUUUGAGACUGCAUAGCUAGGGUGCGGAAGAGGGAAGCGGAAUUUCCGGUGUAGCGGUGAAAUGCGUAGAUAUCGGAAGGAACACCAGUGGCGAAAGCGGCUUCCUGGUCCAGCACCGACGUUCAGGCACGAAAGCGUGGGGAGCAAACAGGAUUAGAAACCCG